GGAAGCAGCCAUUCAUUUAAAGAGUGCGUAACAGCUCACUAGUCGAGGAGUUUGGCGUGGAUAAUAAUCGGGCAUAAGUAUUCUACCGAAGCUUUGGGAUGAGAAAUCAUCGGUAGGGGAGCAUUCCACUCGGCGUCGAAGGUGAGGCGUGAGCCUUGCUGGAGCGUGUGGAAAAGCAAAUGUAGGUAUAAGUAACGAUAAGGCAGGCGAGAAACCUGCCCGCCGAAAGACUAAGGUUUCCUGAUCAACGCUAAUCGGAUCAGGGUAAGUCGGGUCCUAAGGCUCAGCCGAACGGCGAGGCCGAUGGCAGAACCGGUUAAUAUUCCGGUACUACCUGUGGGAGUGACGUGGAGACGGAGUCGUGACAGCGCCGCGGACUGACGGAAUAGUCCGUUGAAGGGUGUAGAUGCUGAUUGUUCCAGGCAAAUCCGGAGCAAGAGUCGAACCUGAUAGUAUGGAGCGUUCUUAGAACAAUCCAAUAGUGCGUGUAAUCAUACUUCCAAGAAAAUCCGCUAAACUUAAUCCUGCAGGUACCCGUACCGCAAACGGACACACGUAGUCGGGUUGAAUAUACUAAGGCGCUUGAGUGAUUCACGGUUAAGGAACUAGGCAAACUGACCCUGUAACUUCGGGAUAAAGGGUCCUCGCUUAACGGCGAGGCGCAGAGAAUAGGUCCAGGCAACUGUUUAACAAAAACACAGGGCUGUGCAAAAUUGAAAGAUGAAGUAUACAGCCUGACACCUGCCCGGUGCUGGAAGGUUAAGAGGAGAUGUCAUCGCAAGAGAAGCAUUGAAUUGAAGCCCCAGUAAACGGCGGCCGUAACUAUAACGGUCCUAAGGUAGCGAAAUUCCUUGUCGGGUAAGUUCCGACCUGCACGAAUGGUGUAAUGAUCUGGACGCUGUCUCAACCGUGAGCUCAGUGAAAUUGUAGUAUCGGUGAAGAUGCCGAUUACCCGCGAUGGGACGAAAAGACCCCGUGAACCUUUACUAUAGCUUAACAUUGAAUUUGGGUAAUUGAUGUGUAGGAUAGGCCGGAGGCUUCGAAGCGGGCACGCCAGUGUCCGUGGAGCCGCUGUUGAAAUACGGCCCUUUGAUUAUUUGAGUUCUAACCCGUUGUUGCGGGGACACUGUUUGGUGGGUAGUUUGACUGGGGUGGUCGCCUCCAAAAGUGUAACGGAGGCUUCUAAAGGUGCCCUCACGACGAUUGGUAACCGUCGGCAGAGUGUAAUGGCAUAAGGGCGCUUGACUGGGAGACUUACAAGUCGAUCAGGUAGGAAACUAGAGCAUAGUGAUCCGGUGUUUCUGUAUGGAAAGGACAUCGCUCAAAGGAUAAAAGGUACUCCGGGGAUAACAGGCUGAUCCCUCCCAAGAGCUCAUAUCGACGGAGGGGUUUGGCACCUCGAUGUCGGCUCGUCACAUCCUGGGGCUGGAGAAGGUCCCAAGGGUUGGGCUGUUCGCCCAUUAAAGUGGCACGCGAGCUGGGUUCAGAACGUCGUGAGACAGUUCGGUCUCUAUCUAUCGUGGGCGCAUGAAAUUUGCGUGGCUCUGACACUAGUACGAGAGGACCGUGUUGGACUGACCUCUGGUUUACCGGUUGUGCCGCCAGGUGCAUUGCCGGGUAUCUAAGUCGGGAUUGGAUAAGUGCUGAAAGCAUCUAAGUACGAAGCCAGCCACAAGAUUAGAUUUCUCAGGGUCGUUGUAGACUACAACGUUGAUAGGAUGCAGGUGUACAGGCAGCGAUGUCAUAGCUGAGCAUUACUAAUUGCCCGUCCACUUUUU
rnacentral:rRNA from 1 species